ensembl:lncRNA
AAGUAUAAGGAUGAGUUUGUUCACAAAAGUGACUUUUUUUGUCUUCACAGCUCCAAAACAAAUUGCAGGCACCAUGAACCGGAGCAAGGGUAAGUUUAAAAAAAAAAGGCUACAUGCUGUAUGAAAGUAAAUAACUAUGUCCUCUGACCUAUUUACAAUGAUAAAAAGAACAUCUCUCAAGUACAACUCAGUUCCUUUCUUUCGCACUAUAGAGCCCUUGAAAAAAUUGUUUGCAAACUUGAUCAACUAGUUCGGAGUCGACAGAGAAGUAUGAGGGAAAGAUUUACUAGAUUACAUUCAUUAGAUUAGAUUCAACUUCAUUGUCCUUGUUGGUCAAUGUGACAUUAUUUUCCAGUUACAUUACUAGAUGUAUUGUGUUAACAUGCAGUGCAUUGCACUGAUUGUCUCUGCUAAUUGCGUUUGCAGCUGCUGGACGCGAGACAGAGUGUACUAGCUGUGUACUAGCUGCAGAGUAAAUGGACUUCUGGUGGAGCAUCACGACAAUUGAUGUGAUGAUGUCUUGAUGAGGAGGAUGGGCUGAUCGUGUGACCUUCAUCUUUUCACAGCCAGGAGAUCGCCGACCUGUGUGCCACACUUCAGGCCUGCCUGGAAGCUAAUCCGAAGUGCGUGGCUAACACAUCACAGAGAACCUGUUGCACCAAGGAGGAGGAGGAGGCGUCAUGAACGGGAGUUAGCAAGACAGAGCCUGGUGUGGCAGCUGGAUUUCUUUCAAACAUCAACAUGAAGCAGAGAAUCUGUCGUUUUUUAGCUGUAUGUUAACUUUGAAAUGAUCACCUUGUAUUUCAGUCAAUAUUCAUCCGUUUAAGAUGUGUCACAUGAUAUAUGUAUCAUAGGUUUCACAGACUUUUCACUUAGCGUCCACUAACACCAUACCUAGUAUUUUGCCAUCCACUAACACCCUAUCAUGGUUAUUUAAAGACACGUUCAAGUAAGAGCAACAAGUGAUUUGUGAAGCUAGCAAUGAACUGCUGGUAGUAGGGCUUAGACAGUUCA